GAUGAACGCUAGCGGCAGGCCUAAUACAUGCAAGUCGAACGGUGUCUUCGGACAUAGUGGCGCACAGGUGCGUAACACGUAUGCAACCUACCUUACAUUGGGGGAUAGCCUUUCGAAAGGGAGAUUAAUACCGCAUAAGACAGUAGCUGGGCAUCCAGCAGCUGUUAAAGAUUUAUCGAUGUAAGCUGGGCAUGCGUCCAAUUAGCUAGUUGGUGAGGUAACGGCUCAACAAGGCAAUGAUUGGUAGGGGAACUGAGAGGGCAAUCCCCCACACUGGCACGGAGAUACGGGCCAGACUCCUACGGGAGGCAGCAGUAGGGAAUAUUGGGCAAUGGACGCAAGUCUGACCCAGCCAUGCCGCGUGCAGGAUGAAGGCGUUAUGCGUUGUAAACUGCUUUUAUGCAGGAAGAAACGACUCUUGCGAGAGGCAUUGACGGUACUGUAUGAAUAAGCACCGGCUAACUCCGUGCCAGCAGCCGCAGUAACAC
rnacentral:rRNA from 1 species